CAGCCGCCACGGUAAAACGUAGGGUGCAAGCGUUAAUCGGAAUUACUGGGCGUAAAGCGUGCGCAGGCGGUUUGUUAAGACAGACGUGAAAUCCCAGGGCUUAACCUGGGAACUGCAUUUGUGACUGGCGAGCUAGAGUAUGGCAGAGGGGGGUAGAAUUCCACGUGUAGCAGUGAAAUGCAUAGAGAUGUGGAGGAAUACCGAUGGCGAAGGCAGCCCCCUGGGCCAAUACUGACGCUCAUGCACGAAAGCGUGGGGAGCAAACAGGAUUAGAUACCCCAGUAGUCCCUGUCUCUUAUAC
rnacentral:rRNA from 1 species